UACGUAGGGGGCAAGCGUUGUCCGGAAUCAUUGGGCGUAAAGCGCGUGUAGGCGGCCCGGUAAGUCCGCUGUGAAAGUCGGGGGCUCAACCCUCGAAUGCCGGUGGAUACUGUCGGGCUAGAGUACGGAAGAGGCGAGUGGAAUUCCUGGUGUAGCGGUGAAGUGCGCAGAUAUCAGGAGGAACACCAAUUGCGAAGGCAGCUCGCUGGGACGUGACUGACGCUGAGACGCGAAAGCGUGGGGAGCAAACAGG
rnacentral:rRNA from 1 species